rnacentral:rRNA from 1 species
GAAGGGGUCUAGCGUUGCUCGGAAUCACUGGGCGUAAAGGGUGCGUAGGCGGGUCUUUAAGUCAGGCGUGAAAUCCUGGAGCUCAACUCCAGAACUGCCUUUGAUACUGAAGAUCUUGAGUUCGGGAGAGGUGAGUGGAACUGCGAGUGUAGAGGUGAAAUUCGUAGAUAUUCGCAAGAACACCAGUGGCGAAGGCGGCUCACUGGCCCGAUACUGACGCUGAGGCACGAAAGCGUGGGGAGCAAACAGGAUUAGAUACCCUGGUAGUCAAGGGCG